rnacentral:rRNA from 1 species
AUUGAACGCUGGCGGCAGGCCUAACACAUGCAAGUCGAGCGAGCGGCGGACGGGUGAGGUAUGCCUGGGAAUUGCCCAGUCGAGGGGGAUAACAGAUGGAAACGACAGCUAAUACCCAAUUCGAAUGGAUUGCCCAGGUGGGACUAGCUAGUUGGUGAGGUAAUGGCCUACCAAGGCGACUAUCCCUCGCUGGUCUGAGAGGGUGAUCAGCCACACUGGAACUGGGACACGGUCCAGACUCCUACGGGAGGCAGCAGUGGGGAAUAUUGCACAAUGGGGGAAACCCUGAUGCAGCCAUGCCGCGUGUGUGAAGAAGGCCUUCGGGUUGUAAAGCACUUUCAGCGAGGAGGCGUUACUCGCAGAAGAAGCACCGGCUAACUCCGUGCCAGCAGCCGCGGUAAUAC